rnacentral:SRP_RNA from 13 species
UUUGCCAAGGCUGCACUGCAGCAUCUACUCACAGGUAUUAUCCCACUACUGGACAGCACGGGGGAUUUGACCUGCUUCGUUUCCGACCUGGGCCGGUUCACCCCUCCUUAGACAACCUGGUGCAUCUACUCACAGGUAUUAUCCCACUACUGGACAGCACGGGGGAUUUGACCUGCUUCGUUUCCGACCUGGUUCACCCCUCCUUAGACAACCUGGUGGUCCCAGGCUCCCCCAGGAACACCAUAUCGAUACCGAACUUAGCGUGGACACCCGUUCGACAUAGCGUGCUGCAGCCCAGAGCUCCUCAGCUCACUUGAUCCACCAACCUCAGCCUCCCAGUGACUUGGAUUACAGGAACAUGCCACUGCACCCGGCGAGAUAUUCAGCUGC